CCCAAGCACUUUGAUUUCUCGAAAGGUGCCGAACGAGUCAAAAAAUAACAUCGUCCGAUCCCUAGUCGGCAUAGUUUAUAGUUAAGACUACGACGGUAUCUGAUCGUCUUCGAUCCCCUAACUUUCGUUCCUUAUCAAUGAAAACAUCCUUGGCAAAUGCUUUCGCAGUAGUUAGUCUUCAAUAGAUCCAAGAAUUUCACCUCUGACAAUUGAAUACUGAUGCCCCCGACUGUCCCUAUUAAUCAUUACGGCGGUCCUAGAAACCAACAAAAUAGAACCACGCGUCCUAUUCUAUUAUUCCAUGCUAAUGUAUUCGAGCAAAGGCCUGCCUGGAGCACUCUAAUUUUUUCAAAGUAAAAGUCCUGUUUCCCCACCACGACCAGUAAAGGCCAUGGGGUUCCACAGAGGGAAAGACCCGGCUGGAUCAGUACACCCGGUGAGGGGGACCGGCCAACCAGGCCCAAGGUUCAACUACGAGCUUUUUAACCACAACAACUUUAAUAUACGCUAUUGGAGCUGGAAUUACCGCGGCUGCUGGCACCAGACUUGCCCUCCAAUUGUUCCUCGUUAAGGGAUUUAAAUUGUACUCAUUCCAAUUAUAAGACCCAAAAGAGCCCUAUAUCAGUAUUUAUUGUCACUACCUCCCCGUAUCGGGAUUGGGUAAUUUGCGCGCCUGCUGCCUUCCUUGGAAUUUGCAGCCGUUUCUCAGGCUCCAUCUCCGGGGUCGAGCCCUAACCCUCCGUUACCCGUUGUAACCAUGCGAAGACAAUACCUUCGCAUCGAAAGUUGAUAGGGAAGAAAUUUGAAUGAACCAUCGCCGGCGCAAGGCCCUGCGAUUCGAGAAGUUAUCAUGAUUCACCAGCUAGCCCCAGAGGGCAUUGGUUUUUAAUCUAAUAAAUACAUCCCUUCCGAAGUCGGGAUUUUUAGCAUGUAUUAGCUCUAGAAUUACCACGGUUAUCUAAGUAGUAAGGUGCUAUCAAGUAAACGAUAACUUAUAUAAUGAGCCAUUCGCAGUUUCGCGGUAUAAUUGCUUAUACUUAGACAUGCAUGGCUUAAUCUUU
rnacentral:rRNA from 1 species